UACGGGGGGGUGCGAGCGUUGUCCGGAAUCACUGGGCGUAAAGGGCGCGUAGGUGGUCUGAUAAGGGUGUGGUGAAAGCCCGGGGCUCAACCCCGGGUCGGCCGUGCCGACUGUUAGACUAGAGUGCUGUAGGGGCAGGCGGAAUUCCGGGUGUAGCGGUGGAAUGCGUAGAGAUCCGGAGGAAGACCGGUGGCGAAGGCGGCCUGCUGGGCAGUUACUGACACUGAGGCGCGACAGCGUGGGGAGCAAACAGG
rnacentral:rRNA from 1 species